rnacentral:snRNA from 1 species
UAGCAGUGGUUUCUUUGGCCUU